AGGACGAACGCUGGCGGCGUGCUUAACACAUGCAAGUCGAGCGGAAAGGCCCUUCGGGGUACUCGAGCGGCGAACGGGUGAGUAACACGUGAGUAAUCUGCCCCUAGCUCUGGGAUAGCUCCGGGAAACCGGGAUUAAUACCAGAUACGACCACUUUAGACAUCUGUUGUGGUGGAAAGAAUUUUGGCUAGGGAUGAGCUCGCGGCCUAUCAGCUUGUUGGUGAGGUAACGGCUCACCAAGGCGACGACGGGUAGCCGGCCUGAGAGGGCGACCGGCCACACUGGGACUGAGACACGGCCCAGACUCCUACGGGAGGCAGCAGUGGGGAAUAUUGCGCAAAUGGGCGAAAGCCUGACGCAGCGACGCCGCGUGGGGGAUGGAAGGCCUUCGGGGUGUAAACCACUGUCAGGGGUAGGAAAGUUCUGAUCCGCCCCAGAGGAAGGCGACGGCUAACUCUAGUGCCAGCAGCCGC
rnacentral:rRNA from 1 species